rnacentral:rRNA from 1 species
CCUACGGGCGGCAGCAGUCGAGAAUCAUUCACAAUGGGGGAAACCCUGAUGGUGCGACGCCGCGUGGGGGAAUGAAGGUCUUCGGAUUGUAAACCCCUGUCAUGUGGGAGCAAAUUAAAAAGAUAGUACCACAAGAGGAAGAGACGGCUAACUCUGUGCCAGCAGCCGCGGUAAUACAGAGGUCUCAAGCGUUGUUCGGAAUCACUGGGCGUAAGGCGUGCGUAGGCUGUUUCGUAAGUCGUGUGUGAAAGGCGCGGGCUCAACCCGCGGACGGCACAUGAUACUGGGAGACUAGAGUAAUGGAGGGGGAACCGGAAUUCUCGGUGUAGCAGUGAAAUGCGUAGAUAUCGAGAGGAACACUCGUGGCGAAGGCGGGUUCCUGGACAUUAACUGACGCUGAGGCACGAAGGCCAGGGGAGCGAAAGGGAUUAGAUACCCGGGUAGUC